UACGAAGGGGGCUAGCGUUGUUCGGAUUUACUGGGCGUAAAGCGCACGUUAGGCGGAUUGUUAAGUCAGGGGUGAAAUCCCGGAGCUCAACUCCGGAACUGCCUUUGAUACUGGCAAUCUAGAGUCCGGAAGAGGUGAGUGGAACUCCUAGUGUAGAGGUGGAAUUCGUAGAUAUUAGGAAGAACACCAGUGGCGAAGGCGGCUCACUGGUCCGGUACUGACGCUGAGGUGCGAAAGCGUGGGGAGCAAACAGG
rnacentral:rRNA from 1 species